GGCGAACGCUGGCGGCGUGCUUAACACAUGCAAGUCGAACGGAAAGGCACUGCUUUUGUGGGGUGCUCGAUUGGCGAACGGGUGAGUAAGACGUGAGUAACCUGCCCUUGACUUUGGGGUAAGUUCAGGAAACUAGGGCUAAUACAGGAUAGGAUCUCCUGCUGCAUUGUGGGGGUUGGAAAGUUUCGGCGGUUGGGGAUGGACUCGCGGCUGAUCAGCUUGUUGGUGGGGUAGUGGCUUACCAAGGAUUUGACGGGUAGCCGGCCGGAGAGGGUGACCGGCCACAUUGGGACUGGGAUACGGCCCAGACUCCUACGGGAGGCAGCAGUGGGGAAUAUUGCACAAUGGGCGGAAGCCUGAUGCAGCAACGCCGCGUGCGGGAUGACGGCCUUCGGGUUGUAAACCGCUUUCGCCUGUGACGAAGCGUGAGUGACGGUAAUGGGUAAAGAAGCACCGGCUAACUACGUG
rnacentral:rRNA from 1 species